AUUGAACGCUGGCGGCAUGCUUUACACAUGCAAGUCGAGCGGCAGCGCGGGGGCAACCCUGGCGGCGAGCGGCGGACGGGUGAGUAAUGCAUCGGAACGUAUCCCGUAGUGGGGGACAACCCAGCGAAAGCUGGGCUAAUACCGCAUAUGCUCUACGGAGGAAAGUGGGGGACCAGCAAUGGCCUCACGCUAUGGGAGCGGCCGAUGUCCGAUUAGCUAGUUGGUGGGGUAAAGGCUUACCAAGGCGACGAUCGGUAGCUGGUCUGAGAGGAUGAUCAGCCACACUGGGACUGAGACACGGCCCAGACUCCUACGGGAGGCAGCAGUGGGGAAUUUUGGACAAUGGGGGCAACCCUGAUCCAGCCAUGCCGCGUGCGGGAAGAAGGCCUUCGGGUUGUAAACCGCUUUUGGUCGGGAAGAAAGGGCUCUCUCUAAUACGGGGGGCUG
rnacentral:rRNA from 1 species